AGCAGUGCCAUCUGUCAGGCCGGCUGCCCUGCUGGCCACUCCCACAGCCCCUGGGGGAGCGCAGCGCAGUGUCCCUGGGAGUUCCUGCUCUGCAGGCUCAGAUGAGACAAGUGGGCCUCACCUUGGUCUGGAAACUUCUUUUUCAUACAUGGGCCCUUUCCUGCAGAAGAGGGUUGUCUCGUGUGUUCCUUGGUACCCAGAAGGCCUGGCAAAGGGGGGGACACAGCGACUCCCUGGUGGUCUAGUGGCACCAAAGCAACAGUCACACGACGGUGCCCCCAAGCCCAGGAUGGACCUUCGGUGGUCCCCACAUCUACUGGACAGUCCAGUCCUUGGGCUCUUCGGCUUUACUCCUCAGGGAAAAUGGACCCAGAGUUCUGCAGCCCUCCUCUGGCCUGUCUUGCUGUGGCCAGGGUUGGUCUGCUGUCCCCAGCCUGUUCCAGGCCAGCCUCCCUGCGCCCCACUGAAGAGCUAGCUAUCAGCCUCUCGGUGGUGAUUAAGAACUCACUCUAUUAACUAUUGACUCACAGUCUGAAAAUGUGCCCGUGGCAUAGCUGUGGCCAGCGGGCCUGGCUUGGUGGCCCCAGGCCCCGCCUGGCCUCACUGCCAGAGGGUCCCCUCCCAGGCAUGCACACGGCCAGCACCUUCCUGCCACCACAGUGACCUUCCUUGCGGAGCCUGGAGCUCAGCCUCACCAGGGUUUGGCCCCAGACCUGGGCCGAAGGGGCGGAGUGGCGAGGCCAUCUGGGGUGGAAUCAGUGUUCAGACGGGAGAGGAAAUUGCCCUGAGAUGGCCGAGACGGCAGGAAGAAGGAGCCUGGACAGCCAAGUUCAACAGAGGGGACUCGGGUGGGGGCUGGAGGCCACUCUCCAGCAGGGCUCUGGGUGCCCCGCCCUGGCCAUGCGGUGCUCUGCUCUGCUGACAUGGGGCCCAGUCAAGGCUGAGGACCAGAGGGAGAGCUACCUCCCCUUCUUCUGCCUCCUCGAGCAUUGGCCAGGCUGGACAGGCCUGGACAGGAGCCCCAGAGAUGUGGUGGUCCCCCCAAGAGCAGAAUGGGGAGGGUCAAGGUGGGUGUGAGUGUAGGUGCAGCCCCCGUGGAUGGGUGGUCCAGACUGGUCACCAGCCCUGGGCUGGACUUCCCUGGAGGACUUGAGGGUGUUGUCUCCUUGCAGUCCUUGGGCCCUGGUCUAUCUGCCCCUUUAACACAACAGUGAGGCACCUCAUGAGCCCUGAACCCUACACCCAGAGGGCAGGGUUGGGCCUUUGCUCUAGGGUCCCCCUAGCUGCUCCUGCCACUGUCCACACCCUGGGAAUGGGGUGAGUGUUGGAGGAGUACAUGUGGAGCGCAGGAAGCGCGGUCUCUGAGGCUGGGCUCCAGGGGAGCUCCCGACCUGACGCGUCUCCCCUGUGAACCGGGCUGUGGGGAAGGGGAAGGGGAAGGGGCUGGUCAGGGCCAGGCUGGCCUGCUGGAGAGGACAGCUGGGGCCACGACCAAGCGUGGUCAGUGACAUGGCUGCUGAUGACUGACCUGGGCGAUCAGUCCUGCCCACGGCCCCAGAGGUGCUCCCCGAUGGCUGGAGACAGUGGCCCCGGGUCCCUUGGACACACCCUCUGGGUCCUCCUUGGCCUCACCAUGGCUCAGCAGCUCAGGUGGUGGCUGUCUGAUCUGGGGGCAGAAGCAGUACCCUGAGAGUCACCCUGAGUAGCCUGCAGCUCAGCAAUGACACUGUCUGAAGACCAAGGUGUGUCCAGUACUUCCCGAGGGCCUGCUGUGUGCUGGGUCUAUUGAGUUGCACCGAGCCUCCUUGCCGCCCUGGGGCAGUGGGGCAGGAGAGGCCUCGGGGCCACUCUGCACCUUCCACUCGGGGCUCCUCCUGAACUCCAGGCUUCCGGGGGCUGGGCAGGAGCAGGGGCAGGACCAGGAUGGAUGACAAGGACCCCCUCCCACCUGGCCGAAUGUGACGGACCCAAGCAGAGGCCAAGUCUGUAUGAGUUUCUUCCCCAAAUACCCAAGCCUUCUGCUGUCCAGUGCACCUUGGCUCUUGAGGGAGCGUCCUGUGUGACUCUGGAAACUUCCAGUGCCCUGGACUCCCUGGGAGGCAUGUUGUGAGGUUUCUGAUCCCUCCUGUGAGUCCCGGGGAGAUUGGCCUCCGGAGGCUUCCUUGCCCAAAGCCCUUCCAGGUGGGCAGCAUGGGGGAGGAGCAGGGGAGGGGCCUUCGGAGGACUGUGGCAAGGAGGAUUGUCCUGUCCAGAGGCACUGGGAGGUGACUGGGCGGUGGCAACCUGUGGGCCGGGCACCAUGAGCCCCCUGAAGAGGCGGGAGGAGGCUACGGGUGGCAGGUGGGCAGCUGCGUGGCAGAGGGAGGGGCCCAGAGCUCAGGGAACAGAGGCCGGCGGGGAGGAGAUGGCUGGACGAGGCGCGAGACCCAAGGCCUCUGGGCACAGGUGGGAAGGCAACAGGGCAGCGGCCUUUGUUGGGCUUCAGAGACCUGGGUUCCGGCUGCCCUGACGGCGCUGGCCCUGGGGCUGGCUUCUUCCCCGGAGAUGGGCUGGUGCUUCUUGCUCUGCCCUUGUCCAGCUACGGAAGGUUGGAUGAGCUGGUCUAGGUGACAACAGCUCCUCUGCGGAGGUGUCCCCAGGGCCUCCGUCCUUUUCCUGCAGCUGUAGCCGACAGACGGUCAUCGAUAGGAAACUGGCCGGCAAGGUGAGGAGCAAGGCAGCGGGGCCUCGCUCCACAGAUGAAGGGCAGAGGGAGAAAGUGCCACACAGAGGAGAGGGGGAGCUCGCCCUGCAGCACACCAGCCUCGCGGUGACAGCCCUGACCCAGGCGCCGCCUCAAGACCCUGUCACUUCUGAAAGGCCCGUCUCUUGAUCCCGUGCCAGCAGCAAUGACAUCCCCACUUGAGCUCUGGAGAGGUGUGGCAGCCAUGUGCUGGAUGGAGAACGCUCCCCUGGUUCUCUGCGCCGGGCCUCCCUUGAGAGCUGCCUGUCCACACAGUGCCCUGGGCCCCCCCGGCCCCAUCAGGAUCCGCAAACCAACCCUCCUGAUGACACCUUGCUGGGCCCACAGCCACGGUGGACAUCACCAAUUCACUGCAGAACCCCUUCCUGCGGAGGGGCUCUGCCCCUGAGUCCUCGGGCUCAGCUCUGUAGGUGGAUCCCAGGUGCUCCCAAGACAAGCCCCCACCCCCCACCCAGGCCAAGUGUCCACCGUGUUGCUGGGUUCUGGGGACGAGCAGAGCAGAGGGCCCAGUCGCACGUGCCGACCUUUGUCUUCUGAGGACACUCUGUGGAAUGCGUGCUCUGGGCAGGGGCCAGAUCGCCUGAGAAGGAGAGGAGGUCCUGUCGGGGGCAUCUGGACGCCAGACUUAGAGGUUGAGCUCAUCCUGGUGUAGGGCCAGCCGCUCGCUCUUCCCGAGGAUCCUGGAGCCAGGCCAGGCCUGGGGUGGGGGUCAGGGCGGGGUUUGAACCAUCGCUACAUGGCUUCUCUAGAAUCCCAGAGGGUCAGUGGUGCAUGGGCAAUGUGUUCCACUGUGCAGAGAGUGCCUUUUCCUUGUCCUGGGUCCUCAGAUGUUUUGGGCACAGGAAAAUGGGGACCUCGGGGAGGCCUAGUGGGCCAAAGGCCUUGUGUUCAUCCCAAGCUAUCACCACCAUGCUGUGUGGCCAUGGGCACUUCCGUUGCCCUCUCUGGGACACUGUUUCCCCAUUUGUGACUCUGCCUCGUCCCUCAAUGGGCAUUGCCCUCAUGGACUCUGCUUUCUAGGCCAACAGUUAGCACUGCAUAAAUGAAGAGCUGGCCGAAGGAACCUGGCCUACGGUGUGAAGUGUCUUGGAAGACAUCGGAAGAGGGCUGGGGAUGUGGCUCAAGCCGUAGCGCACUCUCCUGGCAUGUGUGGGGCGCUGGGUUCGAUCCUCAGCACCACAUAAAAAAAAAUAAAGAUGUUGUGUCCACCAAAAACUA
rnacentral:lncRNA from 1 species